CGAGCGGGGAUUUUGCGGCUUCUCCGGCGUGGGCGAGUCGUUCGCUUGCCUCUGCCAUAACGGCGUGAAUACCACGAACAACUGUUACGGCCGAGGAUCCGCUUGGAGUGGAACGUGGGGACCCAAGAGUCAAGCCAGGAUCAUCAUAAAAGGAUUGAUGAUCUGGUGGAUUCUGCUCUCCAUCUCACUGCCUCUAAUCUGAAUGUUCAAUGCGCAUGGAGGAGACUUGGUGAUUUGCUGAAUGCCUUAUCUAAGUUUUCCUGGAGCUGACGAGGUUCCGCAGUUGACCAGAUCACGUGAAAUUUUUCUGGAUACUAGAUCCUAUGGUUUCGGAAUGUGGUGUGAGAUUCUUUGUUCAGAAUUAAUGUGAAUUCCCAAUUCGCAUAACCUCUAGAGUUUGGAAGGUGAAAAGUACAUCCAAGGUUCGUCAGUUUUAAUCGAGUAACAUCAUGAAUCACAUUUUUCUUGUGUUGGUGGGCUUGGGAUUAAUUUAAGAAAACAAACUAGCAGCAGAAGCAGAUGAUGUGAAUGGAAGUUGAGACCGUCUUCGUGGUCA